AAUAUACUACCUCUGUGUGGAAAUACUUGUCAGAGAAAUGGAUGUAUCUAGAUGUAUUUUAGUUUUUGAUUCAUCCAUUUUUAUCCAUUUAUGCGACAAGUAAUUUUGGAUGGAGGCAGUAGUAC
rnacentral:pre_miRNA from 1 species